UUGUCUGUUCUUGGGCUAAGCCUAGAAAACCCUAUCCGAACUCGGACAACAACUCAGCCGACCCAAAACCCGACUUCCAUUGUCUCUGUGCUUCCAUGGCUGCCACAAGCUGACCAUGGUGGUUUCCUCUUUCGAUUGAUCAUCGGUUCUGGAUCAAGGUUUGAUGCGGUUGAACAAAUCUGAUAAGGUCUCUCCGCUGGCAUCACUUCCGAAAGAAAGAUCCGCCGCAGAGGAUGAAGGAUAACUCCUCACUACCGUGCUUCGCCGCUUAUCUCCUUCUGCUACACCAGUGGGAAUGUCUGCCGAGAUAAUGGGUCUCCCUAACUUGUUCCAAACCUUCCUGUGCGCGAGUGACGACGAGGGAGGUAAUGAGAAAUCUGCUGCUCCCCCGGAGGACAAGGCCCAUUCCGAGCAAGGGGCUACGGUCGAAAAGACCGGCACCUCGGCUCAGGAUGCCUCGGUUCAAGGUGACAAGGUGGUUCACGUUUCCCCCUUCCGCGAGGUGGUCGACACUGGGGGUUCGACGUCCAACCCUGCUGCCGAUGACGAGGUGGAGGAGGUUCCUAGCUUCAAAAGGAAGAGGAAGAUGUCUAGCAGUCCUGAGGGUUUCUUACUGUAAUGGAGAAGAACUUCGACGCCGGGAACUUUAUUGAUUCUCAGCUGAUUCCCGGUACUGAAGAGCAUUUUCAUGAGUCAUCCCUUGCCGGGCAAGCGAGGUGGAUGUAUCGUACUCUCUUGCACGGCACAGUGAUAGCUCGGAAAGCCGAGUUCGAGCUGUCCGGGAUGGAAUCUCUUCGUGGGAGGUUGGAAUCUGCUAGAAAGGCUAAUAAUGAGCUUAAACGCGAAGUUGAGACUCUCCGGAAGCAGCUGACCCAAUCUAAUGAGAAGCUUGACGCCGCCGAGAAGAAAGCUACUGCUGCUGAGAAGAAGGUCACUACUGCUGAGAAGAAGUUGGAAGAGUCGGACGCCACGGUUUCACGUCUUGUUGAGCACGAAAUGACUUUAGAGAGUUAGGUCGGCGCGGCACAAAAACGGGUGGCCGAGAUGGAGAAGGAGAAGCAAGCUGUGGAAGCUGAACUGGCAGCGUUAAAAACAAAGUACAAAGACGUCGUCAAGCAGGGAAAGGGUGCGAUCCUGGCGACCGAGGAGGCCCUUAAUGCUCAGGUCAAAAUUGUUGCUCCUGAUUUUGACACGUCGGCAAUUGGAGUCUUCAAGGUGAUCAAGGACGGGAAGAUUGUUGACGUUCCCAAAAAGUGAUUCCUCUCGUUUUGUAUGAAACUUUUGGUUGGCCGUUUGUUUUGGCUUUUGUGAACAGUUUGUUUUAUUGGGUUUUUGCCCGCUUUGUCAAUUAAUACUUUAAUUCGUCUGGUAGUGUUGCUGUUCAUGUUCACCGUUAUUGGUUUGUAGUUGCCGUUUAUGGGGCCAAGUCGUGGCUUUGUAGUGUAGCCGUUUGCUAUUGUGGUGAUUUAUGGGCUACCGGGGUGAUCAGUCCCGGGGCCGCGCAUUGUUGUCGAUUUGUGAGGAAUUCGCUUGCGUAGUGGAUUGUCCAGAAAAAGUGAACGAAACAAAAGAAAUAAAAUUUGCACAAGUAUAUCUUAUUCGGUAAUUGCGUAAAAGUACAAUUUCCUGAUGAAUAGUACAAUUCUAUGAAUGAAAUACUUAGCUUGAUUGGUCGGCAUGUCGCCUCAUGUACUAGGAAUAGAAUCUUCUCAGGUUGUUUGCGUUCCACGUUCUUGGGACUUCUUUACCAUCGAGCCUUUCUAACUUGAAAGCGCCUUUACCCAUUACUUUUUUUAUUCUAUAGGGGCCUUCCCAGUUUGCCGCCAGCUUGCCCACUCCAGGGGUCGGUAAGCCGAUGUCGUUACGCCUUAGGACGAGAUCGUUCGGUUCAAACUCCCUUUUGAGCACUUUGGUGUUAUAGCACAGGGCCAUUCUUUGCUUCAGCGCUGUUUCCGCCAAAUGGGCCAUUUCUCUGGCUUCAUCUAUUAGGUCCUUCUCCGCGGCUUCCUCCACUCCUUUCAAAAGUAGCCACGGGUAUUACCGCAUCUAGCCCGUAUGUCAGUCGGAAAGGGGUCUCCUUAGUGGAGGAUUGUUCGGUUGUUCGGUAAGACCAGAGGACCGAGGCUAGCUCGUCGGCCCAAGCACCUUUUUUAUUAUCCAAUCGCUUCUUGAGCCCUAACAGGAUAAUCUUGUUCGCGGACUCCACCUAUCCGUUUGUUUGGGGGUGCUCUACUGAGGAGAACUUCUGUCUUAUACCCAGGCCGGUGAGGAACUCCGUGAACUUCUUGUCGGUAAACUGUGUGCCGUUGUCCGAGAUAACAACCUCUGGAAUCCCGAAUUGCGUUAUCACCUGCCUCCACAUGAAUUUCCUGCAGUUGGAUGAGGAUAUGCUGGCCAGCGGCUCGGCUUCUAUCCAUUUGGUGUAGUAAUCAAUGGCGACUAUGAGGUACUUGACUUGCCCAGGACCAACUGGGAAGGGCCCCAAGAGAUCGACUCCCCAUUGCGAGAAUGGUCGGGAGGACGUUAGCAGGCUUAACUCGGAGGCUGGUGCCCUGUGAAAAUUGGCGUUCUCUUGACACUUGACGCAUUUUCUGACGAAUUCUUUAGAGUCUGCCAUCAUCGACGGCCAAUAGUAUCCAGCUCGGAUUAACUUUCUUGCUAAGGCUUUGCCCCCAAUGUGAUGUCCGCAGCAACCUUCGUGGACUUCCCUAAGGACGUAGCUCGUCUGGUCGGGGUGUAGGCAUUUCAGUAGGGGCUGGUUGAGUCCUUUCUUGAAUAGCUGUCCCUGGAUGAUCGCGUACUUGGCCGCUUCCCUUCUUAGUUUCGCGGCAUCCUUUUCGUCAUCGGGGAGUUUGCCGUUUUCUAAGAAGUUGGUGAUGGGGUCUAUCCAUGAGGGGCCUAGCCUUGAUAGGUGUAGAGUGAUCGCCGGCUCCCUCGUCAUACCUUGGAUAAGAGACCGGUUACCCUCUCCCGGCUUGGUGCUGGCCAGUUUUGAUAGGAGAUCUGCCCGUGUAUUUCUUUCUCUGGGCACGUGGUGGAUCGUGACCUCUUCGAACUUUUGGCUCAAAUCCUUGACCUUUUCCAAGUAUUUUUGCAAUAAUGCGUCUCUGGCUUGAUAGCUCCUGUUUACUUGGGAGGUGACGACUUGUGAAUCGCUGCAUAUCUCCAACCUCGUUGCUCUGACUUCCUUUGCUAGAGCUAAGCCCCCUAUGAGGGCUUCGUAUUCUGCUUGGUUGUUCGAGACGGGAAAUUCAAACUUGAUCGACUGCUCGUAUACGACCCCAGCCGAGCUUUCCAGAAUGAUUCCGGCGCCCCCUGAGGUCUGGUGGGAGGCUCCGUCUACGUGGAGCUUCCAUCGUGUGCUCGCUUCUUCGGUUGGAUCUCCCGUUACUUCUACUAGAAAAUCUGCCAUUGCUUGUGCCUUGAUUGCUUGCCGGGGCUCGUACCGUAUGUCAUAUUGGGAAAGUUCGAUGGACCAAGUCAUCAUCCUUCCCGCCAGGUCGGGUUUUUGGAGCACUUGUCGGAUCCCUUGGUCCGUUCUUACGACUAUCCGGUGACUUUGGAAGUAUUGUUUUAACCUCCGUGAAGAGGUCAAGAGUGCUAGAGCUAGUUUUUCCAGUUUCCUGUACCUUAAUUCUGCCCCUUGUAAGGCUCUGCUCAUGAAAUACACCGGUUGUUGAGCCCUCUCUUCUUCUCUUACCAGAACCCCGGCCAGAGCUUCUCCUGUUAUGGCGAGGUACAGGUACAGCGGCUCCCCGACCCUUGGUUUCCCGAGAACCGGGGGUGCCGCCAGGAUUUCCUUGAAAUGCCUAAAAGCUUCCUCGCACGCGGGCGUCCAUUCGAACGCUAUCCCUUUCUUCAUGAGGUUAAAGAAAGGCAGGGCCUUUGCUGCCGAGGCUCCGAGAAAACGGGAUAGCGAGGUCAGUCGUCCUGCCAAUCUCUGGACGUCCUUGAUACAACCCGGGCUCUUCAUCUGGAGGAUCGCUUGGCAUUUCUCCGGGUUAGCUUCUACCCCUCUUUGGGUUAUCAUGAAUCCUAGGAACUUUCCCGCUUCCAUAACGAAGGCACAUUUGAAGGGAUUGAGUCUGAUGCCAUGUUGUCGGAGAGAGGCGAAUACCUUUGCCAAGUCAUUCAGGAGGUCGUCAGGUCGCGUUGUCUUUGCGAGGAUGUCAUCCACAUAGACCUCUACAGUCUUGCCUAUGACGUCGUGGAAUAUCUUGUUCAUCAGCCUCUGGUAUGUUGCUCCUGCGUUUUUCAGCCCGAACGGCAUCACCUUAUAACAGAAGGUUCCUUCCGGCGUUAUAAACGCCGUCUUGUCCUCGUCGGGACGGUGCAUCGGUAUCUGGUUGUAGCCGGAGUAAGCGUCCAUGAAGCUCAAAUAGCGGUAACUUGCCGCAGCGUCGACGAGUGCAUCUAUGUUGGGGAGGGGGAAACAAUCUUUUGGGCAUGCCUUGUUAAGGUCGGAGUAGUCUACGCACAUUCUCCAUUUGCCACUGUGCUUCUUUACUAGAACUACAUUCGAGAGCCACGUCGAGUAGUCUAGUUCUCGUAUGAAACCUGCUUCUAGGAGGCUGGCCGUCUGCCUGACCAUCUCCUCUGCCCUCUCCCGCAACAUCUUUCGCCUUCGCUGGGCUACCGGGCGCGCCUACGACUUCACGGCCAGGUGAUGUGACAUAAUUUCAGGGUCUAUGCCCGGCAUGUCGGCCGGUGUCCAGGCGAACAGAUCCCUAUUGGCCCUGAUCAUUUCUACCAGGGGCUCCUUCAAUUCAUGUGGGAGGUUCCUGUUGACGAACGUGAACUUUUCCUCCGUGUCGCCGACCCUGAACCUUUCCAGGUCCCCUUCUGGUUUCGGCCUGGGCUUGUCGUCUACCCUGGCGUCUAGGUCUGCUAGGAACACCCCCGACGCUUCCUUAGAUUUCUUCCUUAAGGACAGGCUGGCAUUGUCGCAAGCGACCACCGUUUCCAAAUCUCCCCUUAUGGACCCUACGGACCCAUCGUCGGUAACAAACUUCAUGACUAGAAGCUUCGUGUUGAUUAUCGCUUCAACAUCAUUGAUCGUCUUUCUUCCUAAGAUGAUGUUGUAGGCUGUGGAAUCUCGGAGAACCACGAAUUCGACCAUUGCCGAUCUCCGGCCCUGUGCCUGUCCCACAGAGAUCGGCAGGGAUAUUACUCCGUCUGGCUUGAUGAAGUGGUCACCUAAUCCGAUGACCCCGUGUUGGUGCGAUGACAGGUCGGCGUCCCUUAAUCCUAGAGCGUCGAACACAUUGCGAAACAUGAUGUUCGAGUCUGCCCCCGUGUCGACAAGGAUCCGUUUGACGAGGCCGGUUCCCACCCUGGCCGUGAUGACCAUAGGUGGGUUCUCGGGUGCCUCGUCGAACCAUUGGUCUUCGGGGCCAAAGGAGACGCAUGGGGGCCUCUUAGAACUUCUCAUUGGGGCGAAGGAGACUGCUAGGAUUUUGGCGUCUUUCUUGUGAGCUGACCUAGACCUCGGCGCGGAGUUUUUGGCAGUUACUACGUUUAUCACCGUGAGACCGUGGUCUUUGUCUUCUGGCUCUUGUCGCCGCUUUGCCGCUGGGGUCUUGGCCUCUUCGCUGUCUUGGUCACGUUGCCGUCUCCUCGGCUCCCGUAUGAGAUGGGAGAACUCAGAGAGUGUGCCAUCUCUUAUUGCUUGCUCUAAUGCAUCCCUCAGGUCAAAUCUGUCUUGUGUUUGGUGUCCGUAGCCCUUGUGGUAGUCACAGUAGAGGCUCUUGUUCCCCCCCGUUCGGUCCUUGAGUGGUCGGGGCUUCGACAAGAUCCCUCUCUCGGCUAUUUGCUGGUAAACUUCCACAAUGGGAAGAGUGAGUGGAGUGUAGUUGGUGAACUUCUCGAUCCGGGAAAAUGAUCUGUGUGCCUUGGUCGGUCCUCCCUCCUUGGCUUGUUCUUUGUGUCUCUCUCUGUUACCCUGUUGCCUAGGUUGAUUGUAGCCGGAAUGCCGUUUAUUGGCGGCCACGACCUGGCUGACUUCUUCGUCAUUUAUGUAUUCCUUAGCCACCGUUUGGAUCUCGUGCAUCGUCCAAACCGGUUUCGUGGUAAGGUGUUUUCGAAAGUCCUCGUUCAGGAGGCCGUUCGUCAGGCAAAGGCUGGCCACCGAGUCGGUUAGGCCGUCGAUUUCCAAGCAUUCAUCGUUAAAGCGAUCCAGGUACUUUCUGGUCGGCUCCCCGGGUCUCUGGGUUAUCCCGAGCAGGUUGAUCAGGUGUUUUGCCUUUGCUAUCCGCGUUGUGAACUGAGCCAAGAAGGCGCGGCUGAUGUCCGAAAAUCCACAGAUGGAUCCCUGCGGGAGGCCGUUAAACCAUCGGAUCGCGGGUCCAGCUAGGGUGACCGGGAAGGCCCGGCACCUCACCUCAUCCCCUACUCCCUCCAGAUUCAUUCUAGCCUCGAAAUUUGUGAGGUGUUCCAGAGGGUCUUGGGUUCCAUCGUACCUCAUGUCCGUCGGUUUGUCGAAGUGCUUCGGCAACCAGACCUCAAGGAUGGACCGAUGAAACGGGGUGGCGCCCAUUAUCACGGGUUGCCGCGUCCUCACAGGCCUUCCUUCCCCGCCUUCGCGAUCUCGUCCUGUGUGGUACGUCUCCUUAUCUCGGGAGUAGAUGAUUGUGUCAUUUUGUCUUCUCGGGAUGGGAGAGUCUUCUCGGGUGCUUUCCGCUUCCGUUCUGGAAGUGGAGGCGUGCCGGGGGUGACUUCGGUGGGAAUCUCUCUCCCGGCUCUCUGGGGACGGGGAGUAAGUAAGAUCGGUGGUCCGUCGAUCGCGCUCCUGAUCAGCUAGUUGUCGUUCCAGAUUCUGGACUCUGUGGCGUAGCUCUUGCAUUAUUCGGGCGCUGUCACCACCAGUUCCUCCGAAAGUCGCGUCUCUCGCGUCCUUGUUCGUGGUUCGAUGUGUUGCCAGGGGGACCUUCGCCGUCCUCCCGGUGAUGCGACAGAGGCUGCCGCCUCUGCGCCGGCUGCUCGGCCUUGGUCUCCAAGGCCCGGCACAACUUCCAUAACUGUCCCCACAGACGGCGCCAAUGUUCGGUGGUCGGUUACCGGACAAUUCGGGUGGAUAUUCGAGGGGAUGUGAACGCUUUAAUCGUGGUCGUGCUGGGUUCGGAUCUGUCGGGUAGCCGAGCUCUCGUUAUGGAAGGAAAGAGGGGGUGCCACCUGCAAAGACACUCCGACGCUCUAGUUAGCUAGUGUGCAGGUGGGGAAUAGGUUAGGUGGAAAGUAUGACGUACCUCGAGGGAGGGUAGGGCCCUUCCCUUAUAUACCAUGUUAGGUGUGGGCCCCAGGAGGGCAGAACCCACCUUCUUCGAAGCUUCCUUGUACAGCUGUGGUGGCCAGCUGUCCUGGAAGGAUGCGCGGGUCGGACAGGUUCGGGUCACCUGACCGUUGAGGUCGGGUGGUACUCGGGUCGGGUAGGCCCAAGUUCUUUCUUGGACCAGGCCGUAAGAUAAACAAAUUAUAAUUCAUAGCGAAAAUAUUAUGAUAACUCCCAAAAAAAUAUUUUUAAUUUUUGAGGUAUAAGCAUUUUCCAUAUUGUUCUCCAUAACUUCUUUAGAGCUGUACUUGAUGUUGCCUGAUUUUGUAUUUGGAUUUUUCCUCCUUUGCUAGAUGAUACCCAAUUUUUACCGUAUUUUCACUGUUUGCUUUAUA